CUCAUACUCCCUCCGUCCCAAAAUUCUUGUCUUAUAUCUGUUUAGAUAUGAAUGUAUCUAGUCAUGUUUUAGUAUUUUGAUACAUUUAAUUUUAGAAAACCUAAGACAAAAAAUUUAAGACGGAGGGAGUAUUUA
rfam:Hordeum vulgare subsp. vulgare, WGS project CAJW01000000 data, contig: morex_contig_2564591